rnacentral:sRNA from 1 species
UGUCCAGAGCACGGUAAGGGGCUAGGGUCUCAGCGUCCCGCGGCCUGUUGAUUUAGCGUGGCGUAAUCGUUGUUCACUUUCUUCUCUCUUCAGGGACUUUCUGCUUUCUUAAGACCGGCGUCCGCGAUGGCCCUAAUAAAGGAAAGAGCUUCUACGUGUGCCGGGCAGACACGUGCAGCUUCGUGCGGCCCACUGAGUAGCAUUCCUGUUUCCCAUUGCUUAUUGCAUGAGGACUUUGUGGUAGAGCUUCAGGGUUUGCUUCUGCCACAGGACAAGAAAGAAUACAGAUUGUUCUUCCGAUGCAUUAGAAGUAAGGCAGAGGGGAAACGCUGGUGUGGAAGUAUUCCAUGGCAGGAUCCUGAUUCCAAAGAACAUUCUGUACCCAAUAAGUCUCAGCAUGCAUCUGUGACAUUUCAUCAUUCUUCCAACUGGCUGAGAAAUCCAUUCAAGGUACUUGACAAGAAUCAAAAACCAGCUCUCCGGAAACAGCUCAUCAAAGGUGAAGGUGAGGAAAAGACGGCUGAUAAGAAGCAAAGAGAAAAGGGAGAUCAGCUUUUUGAUCAAAAGAAGGAACAGAAGCUUGAAACGAUGGAGAAAGAUCUCUCAUCUGGCCUGGUACCAAAGAAAAAACAAUCUGUAGUUCAAGAGAAGAAGCAAGAAGAGAGAGCAGAGAUUCAGUGUGAGGCAGAGACUGGAGGCACACACAAAAGAGACUUUUCUGAAAUUAAAUCUCAACAGUGCCAAGGUAAUGAGCUUACAAGACCAUCUGCAUCUUCUCAGGAGAAAUCAAGUGGUAAGAGUCAAGAUGUCCAAAGAGAAUCAGAACCUCUGAGAGAAAAGGUUACCCAGCUUUUGCCUCAAAAUGUUCACAGUCCCAACUCAAUAAGCAAGCCCCAGAAAGGGGGACCCCUCAACAAGGAGUACACGAA